rnacentral:lncRNA from 1 species
GGGUUUGAUCAUAUCUCUGAUUCAAGCUUCAAAUUACAUUCAUGUAAUGUCCAUGGAGUUAACAAAUACCUAGAAAUGAAAGGAAGCAGGAGCUGAAGGAUUAGCAAUAGUAGUAGCAGAAAUAAGUAGCAAGAAACAAACAACAACCAAAGCUUGAAAACCAAUUUAGAUUCGAAAGGACCCUUGAAACUUUUGUAACCCUCAGAUGCUAAAAUCAACAUGAAGCUUAACCAAUUUCUACCCCAGAUGAAUAAAAAAUUAUUUCAAAAAUUAAAAGCUUCGAAACCACAGAAAAAGCUCAAUGAAACAGUAGUUUAUGGAAAUUUUCUUAGCUAUUUUGAUUUUUCCUGAAUUUUAUCCUUCAAAAUCUGUUCUAAAAAUCUCUCUAAAAUCUUUUCUAAAAUCUGCUAUGAUAUCUUUC